AUGGCUGUGCCACCCAAGUGUGCCAAUCUUGGCAACCUGCCAGGAAUGUCUUCACCAAGGGCUAUGGAUAUGGCUUAAUAAAAGUUGAUCUGAAAACAAACUGAGAAUGUAUUUGUAAGCUUAGGCUCAGCCAACACUGAAACCACCAAAGUGACAGGCAGUCUGGAGACCAAGUACAGAUAAACUGAGUAUGGCCUGAUGUUUAUGAAGUGAAACAUACAACACACUAGGACUGAGAUUACUGUGGAAGAGCAGCUUGCAAGUGCACUGAAGCUGACCCUUCAUUCAUCCUUUGUCACCUAAUACUGGGGGGAAAAUGCUAAAAUCAAGACCAGGUACAAGCAGGAGCACAUCAACCUGGGCUGUAACCUGGAUUUUGACAUCACUGGGCCUUCAAUCUGGGGCACCCUGGUGCUGGGUUACAAGGGUUGGCUGGUUACCAGGUAAAUUUUGAGACUGCAAAAUUCUGAAUGACCUAGAGCAACUUUGCAAUUGGCUACAAGUCUGAUGAAUUCAAUUUCACAAUAAUGUGAAUAAUGGGACAGUUUGGUGGCUCCAUUUAACAGAAGGUGAAUAAGAAGGUGGAGACCACUGUCAAUUUCACCGGGACAGCAGGAAGCAGUAACACUGAUUUUGGAAUAUCCAAGUAUCUGAUCAACCCUGACACCUGCUUCUUGGCUAAGUGAACAACUCUAACCCGAUAGGUUUAGAAUACACUGAGACCCUAAAGCCAGGUAUCAAAAUGACACUGUCAACUGUCCUGGAUGGCAAGAAUGACAAUGCCAGUGGCCACACGCUAGGUUUGGAACUGAAAUUUCAAGCAUAAAUACUGUACAAUACUUUUACAUUAUUUUGCAGCAGAGCUACCUUCCGAAUUUGUCUCUUUUACUGUAUGUCUGGGAUGCAAGCAUUGCUAAAUGUUAGAUUUACAGGCUAAAGAUGUUAGAUUUCCAGGCUAAAGAUAAUUCAGCUUUAAAGUGUUACCCUUUCAGAGGUAUAAAAGAAACCCAGUUCCAAAAACGGUCCUUUCAGCUAUACACUUGGAAGGGGAACUUGGUAGCCCUUCUAGAGAUGCCAGGUUUCUUUUUUAUCUAGAAAUGACUGCAUGUGGAAGCUGAUAUGUAGGCAUUUUUUAAAUCAUAUUGAGUGAAUGAAAUUGUGACUUCCUAAGAAUCAAACCUUGGUUUCCUAGCCCUAAUUAACGAGAGGCUCCUUGCUUGAUGGUGUGUGCAAACUCACUUGAAAAGAACUCUUUUAGACAGAUCUUCAUGACCUGUUUCCAACCCAGUUAAUCAACACCUCUUUUAAACCAAAAGGGUGUGGUAAUUGUUUCUUUUGUGCCAUUUUGAGGUGAAGAGGGUGGAUGUGAUGAAGCCAGUAAUCCAGGAAUUAAUUCCUUCUCAUGCUGUGAUUUUCUGCCCCUCCACCAGAGAACGAAAUGACUUCCAGGAGCUCCAGAUAUAAGCUUGGAAGAAACACAUGGUGAUAAUACUGAGAAUCUAAAUUGGACUUCUGUUGUAUUCUCACCACUGAAUUUAUUUUUUAGCAGUUUAAUGUGUAUAUUUUAGAGUCUUCUAUUUUGUGUGAAAUUAGAUCCUCCCUUUCAAAUGCUGUAAUUAACAUAAUUCAAAGUAAAACUUGAAAAACAUGCUGAAAAAAGUGUGAUACACCAAAAGCAUGAGGGAUUAUGGGAGCUGGAGUCCGGGGAAGAGUUCUUUGAGGAAAUAAUAACUAGGAUCUCAAGAAUGAGUGGUAGAUAAAGGGGGAAAGCACUGUAAGCCAGGAAACAGCACAUACAAAGGCCUUGAGAUGAAACAGUACAUGACAAGUUAGAGAAAGUGAAAGAAGGCCAGUGUGGCUAGAGCACAAGACAGAGGGAAACAGUGAAGUGUGACUUGAAUCAAUUCAGCAAACAGUACUGGCAGUCCAGUGUUUGAUAGUUACUGAUAAGGCUGGGAGUAGGCAGAAGCUGGAUCAUGCAGGGCAUUGCAGGUCAUAUUUAGAAUCUCAGUUUUUAUCCUAAGAAUGGAAAGCUAUUGCAAUGGUUAAGCAUUAGUUUGUAUUUUAUGGCUUAUGAGUGAGGAAUAGAUUGAAGGGGUACUAAAGUGGGUAUAGGUAGCAGCAGCAACUGUAGUAAUCCUGGUGGGAGAUCAUGGUGAAGGUGGAGAAAGGUAGUGAGAACCAAGGGAUAUUUAGAAAUGUAAACUGGUAAGAUUUGGCAAUUGAGUGACAGGAGAAAAAGGGAAAUGCCUUCGAGCUUCUGCAACUGGAUGAUGAGUACCAGGUACAGGAUAGUUUAUUAGGAAACAUAUUGAGUUUGGGAUGUU